CGCAAAUUACCUUUGUGCGUCGCACCUAGCUCCGCGUGCGACGCAUACUGAGCUUCUAAGUGUGGGGGAUUGAGCCAAAUGUGCGUCGCACCAAGUCCACGAUCCGACGCACAUUGGGCCCAAACCCUAAAAACGCGUCCCUGACCCUCUCCCUCACUUAACCUAACUAGUAAUUCUCCUCCGUCCUUCUCCAGCCGUUUCAUCUCUCUCUCCCUCCCUCCUCUCUCUCUCAUCUCUCCCCCUCCUCUCUCCCUCUCCCUCUCCCUCACUCAAUUGUAAUUCUCCUCCGUCUUCGUCUUCAUGUGUCGUUAUUGAUUAUUGUUAUUAAACCUGCGGAAGAUUAGCAGAUUGAAGCCACUUUGAAGGUACUUCGAUGAAAUCAUUGCUAUCAGAAACUUAACGUGUUGCACCUCUCUGCAUUUGUCUUCCAACAACAUUCAUCCUUCCUUCUCUCUCCCCCAAAAAUUCAAAUUUAACCCUUCAUUCUUUUUCUUCCAACGAACGAGAUAAACUCAACUCAAAAGAAGAAAAAUUGGAAAAAAACAAUAUUGAAUCGAAAACCCUUCAUCAUCGUAAUAAUCAGUUAAUUUGUUCGAUGCUGAAGAUGCUGAGAGUUGAUGCAUCGAAGAUCUUCAUUAAAUUCCUGUCACACUCAAAUCUUCUUCUUCUUGUCCCAGCGAAUCAUCAACUCUCAGCAUCUUCAGCAUCGAAUCGCCGUUUAAUUUCUCCCACUGUUUGCAGAAUCAGCAUCUUCAGCAUCGAAUCGACGUUUAAUAUCUUCAUUGUUUGUAAUUCCUCGCUUGUUUUUUUUGGUUCAUUUUUUUAAUUUCGUUUUUUUAUGUUAGAUCUGAUUAUUUUUUUAAUUUCGUUUUCAGAUUUAGAUUUUCUUUUAAAUUUUCUCUUCUGAUUUUUUUUUAGGUUUAUUUUUCUCUAAUUAGUUUGUAAUACAUUUUUUGAUAGUCACAGUAAUAAACUAUGUGCAGAAUCAAAACAAUAUUGUUGUUGAGUGUAA